rnacentral:rRNA from 1 species
AUACAGAGGGUGCGAGCGUUAAUCGGAAUUACUGGGCGUAAAGGGUGCGUAGGCGGUUACUUAAGUCGGAUGUGAAAUCCCUGGGCUCAACCUAGGAACUGCAUUCGAAACUGAGUGACUAGAGUACAGUAGAGGAAAGUGGAAUUUCAGGUGUAGCGGUGAAAUGCGUAGAUAUCUGAAGGAACACCAGUGGCGAAGGCGACUUUCUGGACUGAUACUGACGCUGAGGUACGAAAGCGUGGGGAGCAAACAGGAUUAGAAACCCCAGUAGUCC